AUGGAAGUAUGGUUGGAUUGGAAAGGAAAAACGGAAAAUACGCCUGUAGAUGGCCAAAGAGCUGGGCGGAUUAAAGAUCCAGAGAGUAUUUCCCCUUCUGCCUUAGUUCGUGGCAGAAACGGAGAGACUGUCGCCUACACUGAUUCAACAGGGAAGAGAGAAAAACUCAGAUUAAGAGAAAAACGGGAUGCAAGCGGAGCUCGGGCGAUGUUGAAAGUUGUUGAAAAGCGAUGGAAUUGGGUUAGAAAGCGAUGGAAUUUGGUGGGAUUUGGUGAUUGUCGCCGGACCAAGCCGGAGUUCGCCUUAGUCGCUGGAGGCACUAGAACCGUCAGGAAGGGACGGAAAGAACGAGUGAACCGUAAGCAAUCCCUUUUUCUAAUCACACUUGAGGAGCUGUUCGGGUAA
rnacentral:rRNA from 1 species